rnacentral:rRNA from 1 species
AGCGAACGCUGGCGGCAGGCUUAACACAUGCAAGUCGAGCGGGCGUAGCAAUACGUCAGCGGCAGACGGGUGAGUAACGCGUGGGAACGUACCUUUUGGUUCGGAACAACCCAGGGAAACGUUGGGCUAAUACCGGAUAAGCCCUUACGGGGAAAGAUUUAUCGCCGAAAGAUCGGCCCGCGUCUGAUUAGCUAGUUGGUGAGGUAACGGCUCACCAAGGCGACGAUCAG